GAUGAACGCUGGCGGCGUGCCUAACACAUGCAAGUCGAACGAAGCACCUUACCUGAUUCUUCGGAUGAAAGUUUGGUGACUGAGUGGCGGACGGGUGAGUAACGCGUGGGUAACCUGCCCUGUACAGGGGGAUAACAGCUGGAAACGGCUGCUAAUACCGCAUAAGCGCACGAGGAGACAUCUCCUUGUGUGAAAAACUCCGGUGGUACAGGAUGGGCCCGCGUCUGAUUAGCUGGUUGGCAGGGUAACGGCCUACCAAGGCAACGAUCAGUAGCCGGUCUGAGAGGACGAACGGCCACAUUGAGACUGAGACACGGUCCAAACUCCUACGGGAGGCAGCAGUGGGGAAUAUUGCCCAAUGGGGGAAACCCUGAUGCAGCAACGCCGCGUGAGUGAAGAAGUAUUUCGGUAUGUAAAGCUCUAUCAGCAGGGAAGAUAAUGACGGUACCUGACUAAGAAGCUCCGGCUAAAUACGUG
rnacentral:rRNA from 1 species